rnacentral:antisense_RNA from 1 species
CUUCAACGACCCCAGCCACAACGGCUGUUCGGCGGACCUCCCCCGUCCGUAGGUGGCCAGCACCGCCUGCGCCUC